rnacentral:lncRNA from 1 species
UGGAAGAGGCAUGAAAGUUUCGAAGUUUCUCAAAAUCAAAUUGUUCCAUCUCUUUUUGGACAAGCAAGGAGGAUGUGGUUGCACCAGUUUAUCAAGUCUGAGUUGGCUGUUGGUAAAAAGCUGCCCCCGAAUGGAGAACACCGUUUGGAUAUACCUAAAUAGUUUCUUAUAUGAAUGAAAGAUUUUUGUCACUGUUUUACUAUGAGGGAAGUAAGAGGUGGAGAAGAAUAUGUUAGCCGGAAGGGAGGCAAUGAUUGGGCUAGAAAUGUCUCCGGAGCACAUAGCUAUGAUCUUGUGCAAGUGAAGAUACGGCUGGAGGUGACCAAACGAUGGCCAAGAACAGCAAACCAGGAAUUGGAGGCGGCAGUCCAAGCAGUGGAGGGUGGUUGAGGAAAAAUAUACGUGGUGGAGAGGAUGGAAUACUGAGGAGCUUGAAGCAUAACUCAAUUUUCAAAAUGGGUAAUAUCAUGCCUAAAAAUGAGGAAAAAAUCACUCUUGGGGAUAUUGCGGGAUAAUGUCAAAGAAAAUAUGCAAUUAUUAUCAUUAUUAUUGAGGUUGGUCCCCAAAAAAAGUAUUAUAAAUUUUGAUGGACUGAAAAAGAGUCAAUUAAGUAGUAUAGAUCCUUUAGAUUGCUCUUCUAAAUGGUCUGACACCCCA